GAUGAACGCUGGCGGCGUGCCUAAUACAUGCAAGUCGAGCGAACGGACGAGAAGCUUGCUUUUCUGAUGUUAGCGGCGGACGGGUGAGUAACACGUGGAUAACCUACCUAUAAGACUGGGAUAACUUCGGGAAACCGGAGCUAAUACCGGAUAAUAUUUUGAACCGCAUGGUUCAAAAGUGAAAGACGGUCUUGCUGUCACUUAUAGAUGGAUCCGCGCUGCAUUAGCUAGUUGGUAAGGUAACGGCUUACCAAGGCAACGAUGCAUAGCCGACCUGAGAGGGUGAUCGGCCACACUGGAACUGAGACACGGUCCAGACCCCUACGGGAGGCAGCAGUAGGGAAUCUUCCGCAAAGGGCGAAAGCCUGACGGAGCAACGCCGCGUGAGUGAUGAAGGUCUUCGGAUCGUAAAACUCUGUUAUUAGGGAAGAACAUAUGUGUAAGUAACUGUGCACAUCUUGACGGUACCUAAUCAGAAAGCCACGGCUAACUACGUG
rnacentral:rRNA from 1 species